rnacentral:rRNA from 1 species
UGUUCUAACGUUGGCCCGUAAUCCGGGUUGCGGACAGUGUCUGGUGGGUAGUUUGACUGGGGCGGUCUCCUCCUAAAGAGUAACGGAGGAGCACGAAGGUUGGCUAAUCCUGGUCGGACAUCAGGAGGUUAGUGCAAUGGCAUAAGCCAGCUUGACUGCGAGCGUGACGGCGCGAGCAGGUGCGAAAGCAGGUCAUAGUGAUCCGGUGGUUCUGAAUGGAAGGGCCAUCGCUCAACGGAGAAAAGGUACUCCGGGGAUAACAGGCUGAUACCGCCCAAGAGUUCAUAUCGA